rnacentral:lncRNA from 10 species
AUAGAAAACUCUGAAACCUCUAUGCAAAAAUAAAAAUGUGUGAGAAAAAAUUGUGUAGAUACGUGUUACAGCGCUGUUUGCAAUAGCAAAAAUAGACCUGGAAACUACCCUUUGGGACCAGGUUAAAUCAUGACACAUCCACACAAUGAUACUGCAAGGGUAAAGACAAGUCACUCUGAAAUGAUACAGAACACAAAGGUUUUGGGUUUUUUUGACACCCUGUUGCCCAGGCUGGGGUGCAAUGACCCCAUCACAGUUCACUGCAGCAUCACCCUCCAGGGUUGGGGUGAUCCACCUCAGCCUGCUAGGUAGCUGGGACUACUGGCAUGCGCCACUAUGCCCGGCUGAUUUUUGUAUUUUUAGUAGAGACAGGGUUUCACCAUGAUGGCAAGGCUGGAAACCUUUUUUUUUUUGAGAUAGGGUCUCAUUGUCACCCAGGUUGGAGUGCAGUGAUGUGAUCACUGCACUGUUAACCUCCUAGGCUCAACUGACCCACCUGCCUCAGCCUCCCGAGUAGCUGGGACUACAGGUGUUCCACCAAACCCACCUUUUUGUAGUGACGUUUCACCAUGCUGCCCAGGCUGGUCUUCAACUCCUGAGCUCAAAGUAUGUGCCCCACCUUGGCCUCCCCAGAUUGCUGGAAUUAUAGGUGUGAUGACCCACUGGGCCUGAUAGAGCUUGCUCGGGCAGGGCCCAGUAAGAAUGCCACUAAGCCUGAUGGAUUUUCCUCAAAGACUCAAUUGCUAGCACCAUUCUCAGUCUGCAGCCCACCCUGCUCCUCUUGGGUCUCUGUAUGCCUCCAGAGGGCCUGUGACUGUGCUCAGGCCUGCCUGUGUCUUCAGGACAGAGAGGGAGAAAAGCAGACAUCCUGGAAUCCCAGCAAGUGCUGUGUUUAUUUUCCAAACAAUUUUAUUGAAAUGUGCCAAGAGUACAUGGGCAGCACAAAUGUAUGAACAGGAAAAAAAAAAAUCACAUGUACAAUA